UGGGGAAUAUUGGGCAAUGGGCGAAAGCCUGACCCAGCGACGCCGCGUGAAGGAAGAAGGUCUUUGGAUUGUAAACUUCUGUUAUGGGGGACGAACACAUGACGGUACCCCAUGAGAAAGCCACGGCUAACUACGUGCCAGCAGCCGCGGUAAUACGUAGGUGGCGAGCGUUAUCCGGAUUUACUGGGUGUAAAGGGUGUGUAGGCGGGACUGCAAGUCAGAUGUGAAAACUAUGGGCUCAACUCAUAGCUUGCAUUUGAAACUGUGGUUCUUGA
rnacentral:rRNA from 1 species